UUACAAAUUCGCUAUUUUUUUGACCGUCAGCUGGCUACUUUCAGUAAUUUGUAUCUGGCAACCGUGCUCAAGACGACACAUUAAACACUUAGAGCUUGUGUGACCGUCAGCGGUAACACGUCACACGGGCUCACCAUAGCCCGUGCUGCAUGGACACUUCGUCCUGGGGAGGUAAAUCUCUAACAACAACAACAGGUAACACGUCACCAUAGCUACACUACGCGUGCAGUCAUCUACAUGUGCACUUGUUAACGGCACACUUGGAAAGUCCCCUGGUUCCAUUGCUGUGGCAGAACAGAAGCAACAUACCCUUUCACCAUAUGCCUCUGUUCACCUAGCAGUUAACAGAGUUGUUGCAGUAAAAUAAACAAAAAAAGGAAGAAAUCAUAUUUUUAUCAUGGAGAAUAUUCAUAACAUGAAGAAUUGUGGUUGGGUAACAGAAGAGCCAAUAAAAUUGAAAGAAUACUUCAGUGAAUAUCACACUUUACUGGAUAGUGUUUGUGGUCUUCCUCACAAUGAGAAGUUACUGAUCACUAGUUCCUUGGCGUCGCUUUAACUUUGCACCCGUUCUACAAGAUGUAACCAAAGUUCUCGGUGUACAGCUGCUGCUCUCGGAUGCUCAUUGACAAUCCAAGGCUACACUCGAUGGCUACUUAAGGCAGAUUCCUUGGCUUCUCUUCAGCUCUAUCAUCCAUUUGGAGGCCAACAUGAGAUGGAGACCAAGGGUAAUGUUCCCCGCUUCCAUACUUAGUACAGUACAGUAAUUUGUUGUAUUUGUCGCGCUUCGGACACAAGCAUGUUACAGAUAUGCCUUAACGUAUUGCUUUCUUAUAUUCCAUUUAUUGUUUAUAUAUUGACUUAAUAUUAUAUAUCCGUUCUAUGGUAUAUGUAUUGAUUAUAUAUUAUGAUUGUGUAUUAUAUUAUAACCGAUUGUAUUUGUUUUGAGCCACCCUUGCCGAUUUACUUCUGGCUAUCUUAUCCUGCCUUUAUUCCUAGCAACGGUAUUUCGCUCCCUUCGUUUCACUGAAAGUUUCAUUAGAAUUGUUAGCUACCUUACAUUGCUGCAGUAUAGUUAUUAUACAAACUUAUUCUCCUUCCUCCCCCAGUGUUUUCUGUGCCAAUGUUUCUAUUUGGGGUUUCAUCCAGGAUUGUUUAAUUAAGGAAUCUUUUUAAAUCCUGCAUCAGGGCACCCCCCUCCCUCCCUCUUAUGCCAAUCUCCUGCACUACCCUUAUUAGCUAGGUCUCCUCCAUAUUAAUUCAGAUAGGGUUUACCCCUCUCAACCGAGUUUUUGCUUGUCAUGUUACAACUGCAUGCCCGCUUCUGCCCACCCUUACUGCUUUAUUACUUUCAGCCCGGGAAAGGUGAUCUACUCGGCAAAAGGUCGACACACGCUUUGACUGGAUCAGGUAUCAUUUACAUGGUCAAGAAUAGACAUUAUCUUCGGAUCCUACAAGCACAGUGCGGGACGCACGCCUACCCUAGCCUGGGGCCAAGCCCGGCCCGUGCCCCAGUGACCAGGCAAGACUUCUCCAGGAUGCUUCGCGCCGCCAUCGCAGUGCUAGGCUCGCCUCCAGCUGAUUACGCCCCUCACUCCUUUAGAAUUGGCAGGGCCACUUGGUUGUCUCUCCACUCGUCUCGGUACACGUGUCGUUGCUGCUCCUUCUCAGGAUGUAGCUUCCCGCUUGGCUGCCUUAUCCUGCCUUGGCGAGAUCCCUGUUCGGGUCUCAAAGAACGCUCGGUUGAAUGCCAGUGU